rnacentral:rRNA from 1 species
GGAUGGUAGAUGUGGGGUGCGUAGAUUCCUUCCGUGCCGCAGUUAACGCUUUAAGCAUACCCCGUGGGGAGUACGGCCGCAAGGGUAAAACUCAAACGAAUUGACGGGGGCCCGCACAAGCAGCAGAGCGUGUGCUUUAAUUCGAUGCUACAAGAAGAACCUGACCUGGGCUUGACAUACAGAUAUUAGUGAAGUGAAAGCGGAUCGAUCUUUCGGGGAUCCUGUACAGGUGCUGCAUGGGUGUCGUCAGCUUGUUCCGUGAGGUGUCGGGUUAAGUCCCGUAACGAGGGCAACCCUUGCUAUUCGUUAUACGUGUCUAAGAUGAUUGCCGGCGGUAAGCUGGAGGAAGGUGGGGAGGACGUCAAGUCAGCAUGGCGUUUGUGUCCAGGUCUUCACACACGCUACAAUGGCCGGUACAAUGGGUAGCUAAACCGCGAGGUGGAGGCAUUCCUGUAAAGCCGGUUUCAGUUUGAAUUGCAGGUUGCAAAUCGCCUGCAUGAAGUUGGAGAUGCUAGUAAUUGCAGGUCAGCAAUACUGCGGUGAAUACGUUCCCGGGCCUUGUACA